rnacentral:rRNA from 1 species
GUAGGUGGCAAGCGUUGUCCGGAAUUAUUGGGCGUAAAGCGCGCGCAGGCGGUUCUUUAAGUCUGAUGUGAAAGCCCACGGCUCAACCGUGGAGGGUCAUUGGAAACUGGAGAACUUGAGUACAGAAGAGGAAAGCGGAAUUCCACGUGUAGCGGUGAAAUGCGUAGAGAUGUGGAGGAACACCAGUGGCGAAGGCGGCUUUCUGGUCUGUAACUGACGCUGAGGCGCGAAAGCGUGGGGAGCAAACAGGAUUAGAUACCCUGGUAGUCCACGCCGUAAACGAUGAGUGCUAAGUGUUAGGGGGUUUUCCGCCCCCCUUAGUGCUGCAGCGAACGCAUUAAGCACUCCGCCUGGGAGUACGGCCGCAAGGCUG